UACAGAGGUCCCCAAGCGUUGUUCGGAUUCACUGGGCGUAAAAGGGUGCGUAGGCGGCCGGGUAAGUCUGAUGUGAAAUCUCCGAGCUCAACUCGGAAAUGGCAUUGGAAACUAUUCGGCUAGAGGUCUGGAGGGGGGACUGGAAUUCUCGGUGUAGCAGUGAAAUGCGUAGAGAUCGUGAGGAAGACCAGUGGCGAAGGCGGGUCUCUGGACAGUUCCUGACACUGAGGCACGAAGGCCA
rnacentral:rRNA from 1 species